ensembl:lncRNA
CGGCAGCCAUCUUAGCUACGUAGCGAAAGAGGCGGAGCCAGGCUGAGCCAAAGUCGGCGCAUUUCCCACAUUAAUAGAGUCAUUUUGUAGUUUUUAUAGUGUUUAUAGCUUUUUAUAGCUGCUAGGCGUAAAGAGUUCACCGUUCAAAGCGGGAUGUUUUUUCGCGGGGGAGGAGCCACGGCGGCAAACGUGAUCGUAAUUUCCGUAGAGUGGUGGAGGGAUGACGUAUGUUGGCCAACCCGGAAGUGAGCGUCGCCCUGGAUUCCCU